rnacentral:rRNA from 1 species
CUACGUGCCAGCAGCCGCGGUAAUACGUAGGUCUCAAGCGUUAUCCGGAUUUACUGGGCGUAAAGUGUCCGUAGUCUGAUCUGUAAGUCUGUUUUCAAAUCCUACGACUCAAUCGUAGAAAGGGAAUGGAUACUGCAGAUCUAGAAGUAUCUAGGGGUUAGUGGAAUUUCCGGUGGAGCGGUGAAAUGCGUUGAUAUCGGAAGGAACGCCGAAAGCGAAAGCAGCUAAUUAUAGAAUACUUGACGAUGAGGGACGACAGUUUGGGGAGCAAACAGGAUUAGAUACCCUGGUAGUCCAAACCGUAAAUUAUGCUUGCUAGAUGUUUUUAUCAAUUUAUUGGUAGGAGUGUCGUAAUCUAACGAGUUAAGCAAGCCGCCUGGGUAGUAUAUUCGCAAGAAUGAAACUCAAAGGGAUAGGCGGGGGAACACACAAGCAGUGGAUUAUCUAGAUUAAUUGGAUAAUAAGCCAAGAAUCUUACCUAGGAUUGACAU